UUAGAUUUUUUUCUCUCUGGUUUUUUCUUUAUCCCAUGUUUUUUUUGCUCUCUGAUUGUUUCUCUAGGUUCCGAACAUGGUGAAAGUGGAUCCCACGAUUUUUUUCUUAUACGAUCAGAUUUUUCUCUCUCUGGUUUUUUUUUUUUGAUUUUUCGCAAAUGUUUCUAUUUUUUUUGUGUUUAUUUGGCUCAUUGGGUUACUCAGCAUAGACUUUGAUGAGUUGAUUAAGAUUCACCUGAGUUGGGGGUGAGUUCCUUCUCCUGAGCCCCAUUUUCAAACAUCGGUUAAAGCAAAGUGACUCGCUCUCGUGAAAUUUGUUUCAUGUUUUUCUUCUUGGCAUAUUUUGAGUUAAUUUGCAGCAUGUGUAUUAAAAUUUGAGAUGAAGUCCAAAACUUUAUAGAAUGUGAUCUGCACCAAAGAAAUGAUAUGGACAAGUAACGAUAAGGGAAACAAAUCAAGCUACGAGCAUUUUAUUAAAGGAAUUAAUGGGAAUUGAUCGACCUUGUGAUGAGCAUUACUAAUUUUUGAGCAGUGAGGAGGAUGGGGAAUGUCAGGCAUUCAGAGUGGCAGGGUUGUGCAGUCUAGUUGCCUUUAUUUCAUGACCAUUCAAGCUGAUUUGGCCUUCCUUUUCCUACCUUCCUAUUGUCUUUUAUUGAUGUGGUAGAUGUGGAUUUCUUGCUGACAUGAUAUGGUGAAUGUAGGUUCCUCUCUAGAGUGAAGAGAUUUUUAAGGGCAGCGAUAUUCGGGGUUUGUUUUGUGUUUUUGCUGUAGGAAUUGAGACUUGCAUCUCUUUGUAUGCCAUACAUUUACAUCUCCAUUAAUGGGCUUAUUGUAGUUUUUGGCCUCUUGAGUUGGACUACUUGUUUUUAGUGUUGUGUUCAGCAGGGGUUUGGAAUUCCCUUUUUUUUUUUUUGACAUAAAGUAGGGAUUUGGUAUUCUUUAGUGCAUGCUUUUGUGUUUUCUCUUUCUGUUUGGUACAUGUGGGGAGUUAGGAAGGAGAGGGAAAAUUGGUUUUCUUGGGGUUUGGCUUAAAUGUUGGUGGUUUCCAACAAAGGUGGUUCCUUUGUUGGGUCAUGUGUUAAAGGGGAAAGGCGAUUGUACUUGGUGAUUAGAGGUUCUUGUUGUUCACUUUCGUUUUUUUUUUUUUCUUGUUCAUUUUUGUGAAGUGGCCAAAUAAGGAUUCGGUGACUUUAGUUUGUCUGUUUUGAAUAAAUAGAAUGGCAGCCUGAUAUAUUUUGAGUUGAGUUGGUUUCAACUUGUAUAAGAGGUUUGUGUUUCUGGGUUAUUUGGUCUGUUUUGGUUAUUUUAAUUCCUUCUUAUUCAAUAUUUAUGUUACUGAUCUAUGGUUAUUUGAUUUGAUCCUUUCUGGCUGGAUUCAAAUUAUUUUUGUUACUAAUCUAUGGUUAUUUGAUUUGAUCCUUUGUGGCUGGAUUCAAAUUAUGUAUGUUAUUGAUAUAUCGUUAUUGGACUUGAUCAUUUCUGGCUGGAUUCAAAUAGAGGUAGAUGGCAGCCUGAUAUAUUUUGAGUUGGUUUCUGUUUAUGUUUUUUGGUUCUUGGUUAUUUGAUCCGUUUUGGUUAUUUCAAUUCCUUCUUAUUCAAUAUUUUCAAUAUUUCGGUUACUGAUCUAUGGUAUUACUGAUCUAUGGUUAUUUGAUUUGUUCCUUUCUAGCUGGAGUUUAUCAUAUUGGUUCUUUGCUUUUCAACUUCUGGGAUUUACUUUUUUGAGUCGUUCCAACAAUGAUUUCAGCAAAGUCUUUACAAAACAAAGAGAUAAAAAUACUGAAAAAGCAACAAAUGAAUGCGACUUCUCAUGAAAAAUUGGUCAUAAGGCCAUUCAUUAGAUAAGAUUGAUGAGUAAACAGAGUUUUUCUUCUCUUCUUUCAAUAUGAGCCCAAUAACCAAAGCAAUGAGUAAAACAUUUGUUGGAGCAGCAGAUGCCACCACAACAAUGAUUUGAAUUGCUUGUUAAAAGGUUGGGGUUUUCAUGAACACUGGCAGUUCAAAUGACCUAGAUAAUGAAAGGGGACCUAAGUGAAAUAUAUUAAGCAUGUGACAAGUGUAAUGCUUGCAUUUUUAUCCAGCAAUGUCCUUGGAACUUCUCAACUUUGAUUGUUUCUUUCUGUCUUCUUUUUUUUCUUAUUCAUUCUUAUAAACAGGUCAAAUAAGGAUUAUACUUUUGUUUUGUGGUAUAUUGUUCUCUAUAGGGAAAAGUAAUUUUGCUGUUUUUUUUUUUUGAUAAACAUGUCUCUAUAGAAACCUUGCCCCUCAUCCCACCGUUCAAGCUUUCUUCUCUGCACUCCAGGUAAAUUUCACAGUUUUCCAAUUUUUCUUUUCAUCUGGUUUCUUGUACUACACUGGUGACAAUCAUAACCAUUUUGUGUCCCCUUUCUGUGGGUUCUAGACAAUCAUGGAUAAUAUCUUUUUUUUUCCUUCCCUUUCGAUGUAACAUUUUUCUAAAGUUCCCCUUUUGAUCCUCUCUAUCUAGUGAAGCUAGUAGACACCAUUAAUGUCCGAAACGCUAAAACCUGUGACCUAUCUUAAUUGUUUGCACAAGGUGGAGG
rnacentral:lncRNA from 1 species